rnacentral:lncRNA from 1 species
UGUCCGUCUUAAUGCCUUAGCUUGCUCCUUUUUGAAUCAUACCGGUAUCACAUCAGUUAAGGUUGUAGUCUCCAUGUUUAAUUUUGUACAAAGUCACCACUUGCGACUCUUGUGGCUGAGUUAAGCUUAAUGAUCGUUUUCUUAGUACGAUACCAGUGCACCUUUUGUAAGUCCAUUCUCGUGCCCGAUUAAUGUUCCUAUG